UACGUAGGGGGCAAGCGUUGUCCGGAUUCAUUGGGCGUAAAGAGCGUGUAGGCGGCCAGGUAGGUCGGUUGUGAAAACUGGAGGCUCAACCUUCAGACGUCGACCGAAACCAUCUGGCUAGAGUCCGGGAGAGGAGAGUGGAAUUCCUGGUGUAGCGGUGAAAUGCGCAGAUAUCAGGAAGAACACCAACGGCGAAGGCAGCUCGCUGGGACGGUACUGACGCUGAGACGCGAAAGCGUGGGGAGCGAACAGG
rnacentral:rRNA from 1 species